rnacentral:ncRNA from 2 species
CUAUCAUCCCCGCCCUCAGGUGCCCAAUGCGAUGACGCAAAGGGAGAAUCGGGAAGGCGGUGCAAAUCCGCCGCGUGCCCAACGCUGUAAGGACGAUGACCCCUGCUGAAUGCCACUGGCCGCCAAGGCCGGGAAGGCGCAGGGGCCAAAUGACUCCAAGCCAGAAGACCGGCCUGAGCCAUUUUUGGCGC